rnacentral:lncRNA from 1 species
UCUGUCCUGUCCCACCUUUUUCCCGUUAGUCCUGUUCGCGCUAGUAACUAUGUCACAGCAACAGUUCUUAUUUCAGAAA